AUGCGUGUGUUGUUCCUUCUCUCAAGGUCCCCCACACACAUCUAAUUGAUGAUCCUAGGCUUGUCACUCUUAUAGCCACUCAUACAAAUGAAGCUUAAGCCACUUGACAUUGCCAUUAAACUCCAUAAGCUUUGUUUUUUUUCCACUUACAGGCUUCCAUUAAAUCUUCCAUUACAUUACAUAACAGAAAAGCAAAACACUUUUGCCCUUUUUAGACAUUUGCUUAUUGUGAAGGUGUGAAGAGUCCACGUUUCUAGUUUAUGUUUCUUUGAAGAUUCCUCUUCUCCACGCGCCUCUUUACGCGUAUUCUA